GUGGGAGUAGUUUAACGGUUGAAAACGGUGGCCUCCGGUUCCGCAGAUAGGGGUUCGACUCCCCCCUCUCACUCCA
rnacentral:tRNA from 1 species